GACGAACGCUGGCGGCGUGCUUAACACAUGCAAGUCGAACGAGAAGAGAUGAGAAGCUUGCUUCUUAUCGAUUCGAGUGGCAAACGGGUGAGUAACGCGUAAGCAACCUGCCCUUCAGAUGGGGACAACAGCUGGAAACGGCUGCUAAUACCGAAUACGUCUUUUGUCGCAUGGCAGAGGGAAGAAAGGGAGGCUCUUCGGAGCUUUCGCUGAAGAGGGGCUUGCGUCUGAUUAGCUAGUUGGAGGGUAACGGCCCACCAAGGCGACGAUCAGUAGCCGGUCUGAGAGGAUGAACGGCCACAUUGGGACUGAGACA
rnacentral:rRNA from 1 species